CCGUGUGUCCCCUGUCCCUUUGUCCCCUCACCCCGCGUCCGUGUGUCCCCUGUCCCUUUGUCCCCUCACCCCGCGUCCGUGUGUCCCCUGUCCCUCUGUCCCCUCACCCUGCGUCCGUUUGUCUCCUGUCCCUUUGUCCCCUCACCCCAUGUCCAUGUGUCCCGUGUCCCUUCAUCCCCUCACCCCGCAUCCGUGUGUCCCCUGUCCCUUUGUCCCCUCACCCUGCGUCCCUUUGUCCCCUGUCCCUUUGUCCCCUCACCCCGUGUCUGUUUGUCCCCUGUCCCCAGCGGCGCGAGAUGGCAGCGCUGAAGCAGCGGGUGCUGCGCAUCCAGGAGGAGCGGGCGCAGCGGGACACGCGCGGGUAGGGGACAACGAGGGGACAGCGAGGGGACAACGAGGGGACAACGAGGGGACAACGCGGGGACAACGCGGGGACAACGAGGGGACAGCGAGGGGACAACGAGGGGACACCGCCGUGGGGACACCGAGGGGACAACGCCGUGGGGACAGACGCCCUGAGGACGUGGGGACACCGCGGGGACACGGCUGCGUCCCGGUGGCAAUGGGGACAACGGGGGACACCGCUGGGAGGGACAAGUGGGGACAUGUGGCAUUGUCCCGGUGCCACCACCUUGGGGACAAGUGGGGACACGUGGCAUUGUUCCAGUGCCACCAUCCUUGGUGGCAACUGGGGAUGUGUGGCAUUGUCCCAGUGCCACCACUGAGUGACAACUGGGGACACGUGGCAUUGUCCCAGUGCCACCAUUGUGUGACAUUUGGGGACAACUGGGGACACGUGGCAUUGUGCCAGUGCCACCAUUGUGUGACAAUUGGGGACAGUUGGGGACACGUGGCAUUGUCUCAGUGCCACCAUUGA
rnacentral:lncRNA from 1 species